rnacentral:rRNA from 1 species
GAUGAACGCUAGCUACAGGCUUAACACAUGCAAGUCGAGGGGAAACGAUAGAGAAAGCUUGCUUUUUCUAGGCGUCGACCGGCGCACGGGUGAGUAACGCGUAUCCAACCUGCCCAUCACUUGGGGAUAACCUUGCGAAAGUAAGACUAAUACCCAAUGACGUCUCUAGAAGACAUCUGAAGGAGAUUAAAGAUUUAUCGGUGAUGGAUGGGGAUGCGUCUGAUUAGCUUGUUGGCGGGGUAACGGCCCACCAAGGCGACGAUCAGUAGGGGUUCUGAGAGGAAGGUCCCCCACAUUGGAACUGAGACACGGUCCAAACUCCUACGGGAGGCAGCAGUGAGGAAUAUUGGUCAAUGGACGAGAGUCUGAACCAGCCAAGUAGCGUGCAGGAUGACGGCCCUAUGGGUUGUAAACUGCUUUUAUAAGGGAAUAAAGUGAGUCUCGUGAGGCUUUUUGCAUGUACCUUAUGAAUAAGGACCGGCUAAUUCCGUGCCAGCAGCCG